rnacentral:rRNA from 1 species
AUGAAUGUGGAAGUGUGGAAAGGAACCCUAGAACACCAUAGUGAAUUGCAGAAGGUUUGGCUUCAACUGGAUGGGGUUGCACCAGCCUGGGCUGAGUGGGCAGUCUUGAAGCAGUUUGCAUCUGUUUUGGGGACCCUGAUUGAUGUUGAUUGGCAAGGAAACUUCAAAUCAUUCUUCGAGGUAGUCAGAAUCAAGAUGAAAUGCAAGGAUCAUACAAAAAUCCCCCCUGAAAGGCUGUUUGGCAUAGGAGACAAACUGUUCAGGAUUGGUAUCAUUGUAGAACCACCAGAAGAAGACCUAGAAAUGGAUGAUCUGUUAGAAGACGAACUAACUAACAAAGCAAAUGGCAACAAGCUGGACAAAUCCAAAAAGGAGGAAUAA